rnacentral:rRNA from 1 species
UACGUAGGGUGCGAGCGUUAAUCGGAAUUACUGGGCGUAAAGCGUGCGCAGGCGGUUUUGUAAGCCAGAUGUGAAAUCCCCGGGCUUAACCUGGGAAUGGCAUUUGGGACUGCAAGGCUGGAGUGCGGCAGAGGAGACUGGAAUUCCUGGUGUAGCAGUGAAAUGCGUAGAUAUCAGGAGGAAUACCGAUGGCGAAGGCAGGUCUCUGGGCUGACACUGACGCUCAUGCACGAAAGCGUGGGGAGCAAACGAGGAUUAGAAACCCGUGG